UAUAACCAACUAGAAACACUAAAUGGGAGCAAUGAUGCAAUUCCUAGGUCUUGCAAAAGGCACAUGCAGGAAAAGGAAUGAGAUUGUUUAAGGGAUAUAAGUGACACAGAAGAAAGACACAGGUCUCUUAGCUGGUGUUAUAAGAACAUGGAGGAACUGGAUCUACUUUUCUAACAACUGAAAAUCAUACAAAGACAUACCUUAAAUACAUUAAGAAAAAUCUUAUUUCUUCCAUCUGCACAGUGUACAGUUUAAACCACAAGGUGAAACCUAACAGAAUUCAAGUGUAAGGCAGUCUGAUUAUUCAGGCACCUAUCUUGCAUGCAGGAGUUACCAUG